CCUACGGGAGGCAGCAGUAAGGAAUCUUCCACAAUGGACGAAAGUCUGAUGGAGCAACGCCGCGUGCAGGAUGAAGGCUUUCGGGUCGUAAACUGCUUUUAUAUGGGAAGAUUAUGACGGUACCAUAUGAAUAAGGACCGGCUAACUACGUGCCAGCAGCCGCGGUAAUACGUAGGGUCCAAGCGAUAUCCGGAAUUACUGGGCGUAAAGCGUGUGUAGGUGGAUUAAUAAGUGUGAUGCGAAAUCCGGCGGCUCAACCGUUUGGACUGUGUCGCAUACUGUUAGUCUAGAGGACGGCAGAGGUAAGUGGAAUUACGGGUGUAGCAGUGAAAUGCGUAGAUAUCCGUAGGAACACCAAUGGCGAAGGCAGCUUACUGGGCCACACCUGACACUGAGACACGAAAGCGUGGGGAGCGAACAGGAUUAGAUACCCUGGUAGUCCACGCCGUAAACGAUGCAUACUAUUAGUAUGGGGUAUCGACCCCCUGUGCUGAGAAGCUAACGCGAUAAGUAUGCCGCCUGGGGAGGACGAGCGCGAGACGUUAAACUUAAAGUAAGUAGUAGACGNGNGAGAGCGACGACGACGACGAGGAGGAGG
rnacentral:rRNA from 1 species